rnacentral:rRNA from 1 species
AUUGAACGCUGGCGGCAGGCCUAACACAUGCAAGUCGAGCGAGCGGCGGACGGGUGAGUAAUGUAUGGGGGCUGUCCGAUAGAGGGGGAUAACAACUGGAAACGGUAGCUAAUAUCGCAUACUACCGGAUAAUCCACAUGGGAUUAGCUAGUAGGUGUGGUAAUGGCUCACCUGGGCGACGAUCCCUAGCUGGUCUGAGAGGAUGUUCAGCCAAACUGGGACUGAGAAACGGCCCAGACUCCUAGGGAGGCAUCAGUGGGGAAGAUUGCACAAUGGGCGCAGGCCUGAUGCAGCCAUGCCGCUUGUGUGAAGAAGCCCCUAGGGUUGUAAAGUACUUUCAGUCGGGAGGCGUUACCGACAGAAGAAGCACCGGCUAACUCCGUGCCAGCAGCCGCGGUAAUUC